rnacentral:lncRNA from 1 species
AGAAAUGGCAGAGGAAGAACACAAGCAAGAUGCAGAGAUGAAGGAAGUCCCACAAUUUACAAAGAGAGAGGAGGUGAGAAAUAUGGAAAACUCAAUAAUUAUUACAUUUGCAUUUUUUUUUUCUUCUUCUUCUUGAAUUGCAAAUGUUUCCACUCUGAAUUAUAUAUUUUUAUUAGAAAAUCUAGAGUGAAAUAAAUAAGAAAUAUUUUCUGAUUUGUUUUGGCGACGAUUGCUGGAAAUUUAUCAUAAUCUAGAAAUGUUUUCUUGGGUUUAUGUUCGAACCAGCCAUAAAAGUUCAUUAUAUUUCACAUCGAAUUCAUAAUAUAUCAGUUCGUAAUUUAUAUUUUUUAAAAUUUUUAUAACCUACCCUAUAUAUAUGUGUCAUAUGUGAUACCAAUGUCACACUUUCUAUAUUUACAAGUUGAUAUUUUUUUUUAAAGUUAAAGUUAUAUUUACAAGUUGAAAUUGGUAAUUGAAUUGUAGGUAAUUGGUAAAAGUAGCCAUGACGAGUUUUGUGAUUCCUUGCGCUUUCGCUUGGUGCGUGUUGAUGAUCACUCUCAAGAUGAUCAACUUAUUGCUCUUUUUUUAGCCUCAAAAUUCGAGGCCCAUCACAUACAAUAAUACUAUUCGGUUUGGGUCG